AUUGAACGCUGGCGGCAGGCCUAACACAUGCAAGUCGCGCGAGCGGCGGGCGGGUGCGUAAUGUAUGGGGACUGCCCGAUCGAGGGGGAUAACUACUGGAAACGGUAGCUAAUACCGCAUUCCAUCGGAUAAGCGAUAUGGGUUUAGCUAGUAGGUGAGGUAAUGGCUCACCUAGGCGACGAUCCCUAGCUGGUCUGAGAGGAUGAUCAGCCACACUGGGACUGAGACACGGCCCAGACUCCUACGGAGGCAGCAGUGGGGAAUAUUGCACAAUGGGCGCAAGCCUGAUGCAGCCAUGCCGCGUGUAUGAAGAAGGCCCUAGGGUUGUAAAGUACUUUCAGUCGGGAGGCGUUACCGACAGAAGAAGCACCGGCUAACUCCGUGCCAGCAGCCGCGGUAAUAC
rnacentral:rRNA from 1 species